rnacentral:rRNA from 1 species
AUUGAACGCUGGCGGCAGGCCUAACACAUGCAAGUCGAACGAGUGGCGGACGGGUGAGUAAUGUCUGGGAAACUGCCCGAUGGAGGGGGAUAACUACUGGAAACGGUAGCUAAUACCGCAUACCAUCGGAUGUGCCCAGAUGGGAUUAGCUUGUAGGUGAGGUAACGGCUCACCUAGGCGACGAUCCCUAGCUGGUCUGAGAGGAUGACCAGACACACUGGAACUGAGAAACGGUCCAGACUCCUAGGGGAGGAAGCAGUGGGGAAGAUUGCACAAGGGUCGCAAGCCUGAGGCAGCCAUGACGCGUGUAUGAAGAAGGACUUAGGGUUGUAAAGUACUUUCAGCGGGGAGGCGUUACCCGCAGAAGAAGCACCGACUAACUCCGUGCCAGCAGCCGCGGUAAUAC